CAUUGGUAAUUUCUGUAUCAGUUUGUUCGCCCACUCCACCAAUGCUUUCAUCCAAUGUAUUAGAGAUUGUGGACAGCCCUGAAUUUGUGACUGCAUCAACCAAAAUCUUCAUGGUCCAAGCUGAAACCUUUUCUUGCUUCAUCUUAUGAACUACUCCCAUAUCAAUUACCUUUUUGUCCUUUGUUCCUUUACCCUUUUUGGUACUCCUGAAGCUCAGUUGACCUGUGCUAACUGAUUUCCCAACCCUCUCAGCCUCCUCUAUAA
rnacentral:misc_RNA from 1 species